UCGUCAGGUCACAGAGUUUUUACUGCUCAGGUUCAUGUUUAGACUUUUUCUCGUUAUGUUUGCAUGUUCCUGUUCAGUUCCAUGUUCAUGUCCCAUGUCUUAGUUUUUAAAGUUAGUCAUAGUUUUUCCCAGUUUAGGUUUCAGUUUGGUUUCACCCUUGUUUCGAAUGGACUUGUUUUUCUGUUUUUUGUAUCGCUUUUUGUUUACACACCAGUUCAUUUCUCCCAUGUCUGCAUUUUGGGUCUGUUUCAUAAACUCCCCUCCAUGACAGUCCUAAACAACCUAAAGAUCGAAACUCAAAGAGCAAAGCAGGCAAAGCACGGGAGCAGACAAUCAGGACAACCGAAGCAAGACACCAGAGAGAAAGCAGGAGACAACUUCAAACACAAACAACUAAAUGUGGACAUAAGGACACGGGAAGACCAGGAGACACAGAGAAGAUGCAGAAAAAAGAACAGAUGAAGUUCAAAAACCAAACAGAUGUUCAAAGUCCAUAAACAUUUACCUAGAACUCGAAAAGUAACAAGUCAUUUGCAAGAUCCUGGCAAUAUAAUAAAAUCUAAGUAAGAGUGCA